rnacentral:rRNA from 1 species
CCUACGGGAGGCAGCAGUGGGGGAUAUUGGACAAUGGGGGGAACCCUGAUCCAGCGACGCCGCGUGAGUGAAGAAGUAUUUCGGUAUGUAAAGCUCUGUCAGCAGGGAAGAAAGAAAUGACGGUACCUGACCAAGAAGCCCCGGCUAACUACGUGCCAGCAGCCGCGGUAAUACGUAGGGGGCAAGCGUUAUCCGGAUUUACUGGGUGUAAAGGGAGCGUAGACGGUUAAGUAAGUCUGGAGUGAAAGGCCGGGGCCCAACCCCGGGACUGCUCUGGAAACUAUUGAACUUGAGUACAGGAGAGGUAAGCGGAAUUCCUGGUGUAGCGGUGAAAUGCGUAGAUAUUAGGAGGAACACCGGUGGCGAAGGCGGCUUACUGGACUGUAACUGACGUUGAGGCUCGAAAGCGUGGGGAGCAAACAGGAUUAGAUACCCGUGUAGUC